GCUCGCUUAGCUCAGUCGGUCAGAGCGUGGUGCUAAUAGUGAGACGCCAAGGUCACAGGUGCGAUCCCUGUAGUGAGCA